CCAGCGACCAAUGGGUAGCGCCUUUGGGGGCGGGAGCAGAGAGACAAGGAAAUGCUGUCACCGCCGUUAACACGCACGUGGAGGUUGGUUAAAGGGAAGAUCUGGGAUUAAGUCCUGUCCCGUCAACCUCAAGAUAUGGAACCUCAUGGAAGGGAGGGAGGCAAUGCCAAGGAUGUGCUCCUGAGCAGGUGCCACAAUUCUUCACCUGUCAGGCUGAUCUAAGAAGAUUCCUAAUUAUCAACUGGGAGCAGAAAUAUUCCACUUCCAAUUACAUGGCCCUGCCUGCUCACUCUUACUUCCUAUUCACACUCUCUUGGAGGCCACUUUGUGAUUCUACCAAAUCUUGUAGGAGAGGUGACAACCCUAAAGAGAAGGCUCUAGAAAGAUGACAUUUGGAAAUGUGUAAGUUAGUGUCUGCUGGCUCCUCCUGAGCCACUUCUACUCUGUGAUUGAGAGGAAAGGCCACCUAACUGCCUAAAUCACCACACAGGGACAAACUGGUAUCUAAGAGCACUCAGCAGCAAAAACAAGUAAGCUAAGCCUUUGCACUGCAAUGUGGCAGGGCUUCUGGCUAGGUAUAGCAAGCAAUUCUGAUGUGGAGACAAACAGCAGCAACGGGAAUGAAAUGCCAAUGAAGGAUUCCAACCAUUGGGUCUGCAAGCAUGCUUGUCCUGUGACACAAACAGCCUAGACAUCUCAGCACUGCUUGGAGCUGCUCAUUGGGGGAGCCUGAGAAACAUCAGCCCUUUCACAACCCCUUGCUCCUGAGCAGAGCUCAUCUCCCAAGAGCAAAUCAGCCUGCAGCCCAGUUGGAUGAGAAGCACAGUGUUCCCCUGUGCCAGUGGCAGCCUCAGAGCAUCCUGAAAGAGCGCUUCCUAGACACGCAGUGGAAGCCAUGACUUCCCCUAAGCUGCCAGUGCUGCUUCUGAACUCACGUGGAGGUUCUUUUUCCAGUGUCCCCAGAGGCAGUAGAAAAAUCCGUUUUCCAUUUUGGAAUCUAUCAAGUAGGACAAAUCUGCCACCUGGGAGUAUCUCCUCAAGGGCAAUCUCUACGCCCUUUCCCACAUAGCCUGACAAUACCCUCGAGUUAGAAAUAUCCCUUGUUGGCUAGGCACAGUGGCUCAUGCCUGUAAUCCCAGCACUUUGGGAGGCUGAGGUGGGAGGAUUACUUGAGGCCAGGAGUUUGAGACCAGCCUGGCAUAGAGAGACUAUGCCUCUAUUAUUUUUAAAAAAGAAAUGUCCCAUAUUUUUACCCUCUUCACUCAUCUUUCCACCUUGCUCCAAUAGAUGGCUGACAGAAAAGUGAGAUCUCCUCCACCCCGAGGUCUCCUAAGAGAAUGCUGCUAGCCAAAAAAAGAUCUGCUGAUUAUUGAGGAAGAGCAUCUUUAAAAAGACACUCAACUACAUUUCAGAAAGAUAAAGAUCUAAGUGUUGGCUCUAUGAGGGAAGAAAUAAAGAGAAAGAAUUUUUUUUCCUCCUGCAACAGGUCUAGACAAUGUCAUACAAGGAGUUGCAAGCAUAUCCAAAACAAAAGCAAGGCAAAAACAAGCAAAAAAGUAACAAAUGCAUUCCAAAAUGAUCUCCAUUUCUCAGCCCAGAAAUGUACUGGAUACUGGUUUAGUUCAGCCUGUAGGUGGUGGGAAGAAAUUCACAAAUCCAAGUCAGUUGCAAAAAGGGAAUACUCCAGACAUAUCACCCAAUGAACCUGUAAGAAAGUAUACGAGCUUCUCUGAACAGAUUUUACUCCAGGUUUGCAGCCCACAAGGUUUAAGAUCGGGCCAUGAGGUUAAAUCUGGUAAACUCAGAAAUGUUCAUGCUACUGCAUCCCUAAACUUUGUAAUUCUCUGUGUACCCUUUAAAGCAGUGUUUCUCUGCAUCUUUUAUUCCAUAGCCAUUGUCCACCUGAUCCAAAAUAUCCUAAAUUUUUCUAUGUUUGGAAGCAGGGUUUCCAAUUUUUGUGUAUACAUAAAAGGGGUGUGUGUGAAAAAAAUAAGUAUUAGAAAAAGAACACGUUACGUAUAUAUCACAGAAAUGAGUGGGCAAGAUUUAGAAGAUUGCUGAAACAAAGCCAAUACUAAGGUCUACUAGUUGGUUGCAACAAGUUUAAAAUGUCUUCAGAAGGGCCCUGGUUGGGCAAUACUAUACUUGCUGACAGCAAGCUUGGGAACUGACACAGACCUAUAGCAAAGGACUAUCCAACUUCUCCAAAAAGCUGGUAUUAACCACCAGAAGAAAUAAGAAGUUCAAGGCCAAAAUAUCCAAAUGAACCAACCACUCUACUUGCUGAAAUGCCAUAAAGCUUCUUUACCCCAGACAUUUACCCAAAUCUUAUAAUUUCUUUUCUCCUCUCUGACAGGCCUCCACAGGCCCAAACUUUAAUAGAAUCUGAGAGAAAAAAGUGGCCAGUCCAUCUGCUGUCCAGAGUGAUGCCAAACUCUUUCUCCUGGAACCAGUUCUACCUGUUGGGCAGUCAGAUGAGGGUCUGAUUAUUAACAAACUCUACUUGGGUCUCCUUGGUAGAGUUUGUGGCUUCAGCAGCCUAGUUCAGGGGGGUUCAUAAUUAUGUCAGACUAGUUUUUUUUCUUGUAGUUGCUUUUAACCAAAGAGGUUAAGCCUCUGUACAACCAAGAGGAAGAACUAGAAUUAGAAAACUUACCAAUCGUCCCAGCCAAUGAUAAUCCAUUUCCAACAGGUAUUAACGCCUGUUAGAAGCCACUGGAACACUGACAUCAUCAGCCCAAUUGAUAGGUUGUCUGAUAGAUUCCCCCCCUUCAUCGCACACAAGAAUUUAAAACAAAACAGGACACUGCAGUUAUAUUCAUUAUUGCAGACAAUGGGUUUCUUUGUGUUAGUAAUUGAAAUUACUGCUGUGCUCUGGACUCCAUUAUUCCCUUUGCAGCCUGUGAGCUGGCCAACACUCUAAAUUGUCGAGCCCUAAAAAUUGUAUCAUCCAGAAUACCAACUCGGUACAGCCCUCCAAUGUGAAACUGAAUGCCUUCUGGGGUACAGCAUGAAACUGUUUUAGACAGUGCAGGCCAGUGCACCUUGAAACAGUGUCCUUCCAACUGUAAUGAAAUCUGUAAACGGGAAACUUGGGCCAAUUCAUUGUUUAAAGCAGAUCUACUGGCUCAUACCUUUCUCUAGGAAACAAUAA